GACGAACGCUGGCGGCGUGCUUAACACAUGCAAGUCGAACGGAAAGGCCCUGCUUGCAGGGUACUCGAGUGGCGAACGGGUGAGUAACACGUGGGUGAUCUGCCCUGCACUUCGGGAUAAGCCUGGGAAACUGGGUCUAAUACCGGAUAGGAGCCAUUUUUAGUGUGAUGGUUGGAAAGUUUUUUCGGUGUAGGAUGAGCUCGCGGCCUAUCAGCUUGUUGGUGGGGUAAUGGCCUACCAAGGCGGCGACGGGUAGCCGGCCUGAGAGGGUGGACGGCCACAUUGGGACUGAGAUACGGCCCAGACUCCUACGGGAGGCAGCAGUGGGGAAUAUUGCACAAUGGGCGCAAGCCUGAUGCAGCGACGCCGCGGGGGGGAUGACGGACUUCGGGUUGUAAACUCCUUUCGCUAGGGACGAAGCUUUUUGUGACGGUACCUAGAUAAGAGGCACCGGCUAACUACGUG
rnacentral:rRNA from 1 species